rnacentral:rRNA from 1 species
UACAGAGGGUGCGAGCGUUAAUCGGAAUUACUGGGCGUAAAGCGUGCGUAGACGGUUAGAUAAGUCGGGUGUGAAAGCCCCGGGCUCAACCUGGGAAUGGCGAUGGAUACUGGCUCGCUAGAGUGCGGUAGAGGAGAGUGGAAUUCCCGGUGUAGCAGUGAAAUGCGUAGAGAUCGGGAGGAACAUCAGUUGCGAAGGCGGCUCUCUGGACCAGCACUGACACUGAGGCACGAAAGCGUGGGGAGCAAACAGG